GAUCAUGGCUCAGGAUGAACGCUAGCGACAGGCCUAACACAUGCAAGUCGAGGGGCAACAUGGUAUCAGCUUGCUGAUACCGGUGGCGACCGGCGCACGGGUGAGUAACGCGUAUGUAAUCUACCUGUAACAGAGGGAUAACCCGGAGAAAUCCGGACUAAUACCUCAUAGCACAUAUUAUUCGCAUGAAUUUUAUGUUAAAGAGACUCGGUUACAGAUGAACAUGCGUU
rnacentral:rRNA from 1 species